GACGAACGCUGGCGGCGUGCCUAAUACAUGCAAGUAGAACGCUGAAGAGAGGAGCUUGCUCUUCUUGGAUGAGUUGCGAACGGGUGAGUAACGCGUAGGUAACCUGCCUUGUAGCGGGGGAUAACUAUUGGAAACGAUAGCUAAUACCGCAUAACAAUGGAUGACACAAGUCAUUUAUUUGAAAGGGGCAAUUGCUCCACUACAAGAUGGACCUGCGUUGUAUUAGCUAGUAGGUGAGGUAAUGGCUCACCUAGGCGACGAUACAUAGCCGACCUGAGAGGGUGAUCGGCCACAGUGGGACUGAGACACGGCCCAGACUCCUACGGGAGGCAGCAGUAGGGAAUCUUCGGCAAUGGGGGCAAGCCUGACCGAGCAACGCCGCGUGAGUGAAGAAGGUUUUCGGAUCGUAAAGCUCUGUUGUUAGUCAAGAACGGUUGUGAGAGUGGAAAGUUCACACUGUGACGGUAGCUAACCAGAAAGGGACGGCUAACUACGUG
rnacentral:rRNA from 1 species